AGUUAAAAAAACUCUCAAAGGGCACGAAGGUAACUUCACCCGUCGUAUCCCCUAAACCAUUAUCCCGCGCUCUACGCUCGGUUUUAUUUCACAAAUUCUUUGUCUUCAAACCAUUCAUAUUCACACCGAAACAAAAGGAGCAUUCUUUGUCCAUCUCUUCGAACGUAUUUUUCUUCAAAACUGUUUGAUAUCAGAUGCAGUAACAAAUUCUGAAAUUGAAAGCUUUGGAUGCAUCUUAGGUGUGUCUAUUGCAACUGCAUCAACUAUUGCUUAUUCUAUUGAUGGUGGAGAAUCAAUCAGGGUUGAAUCUUCUUUCUCACUUCGAUUAAGAACCAGUAACGAUUCCCAGAAAACAGUCAGCCUCCAUUUUAUUAAGGUUUGAAGUUUUCAUUCACAACCAUGUAUAUGACACAUAAUUGAAUAUCUAAUAAAUUUAUCUUUGUUCCUUGAUCAUAUACCAUAAUUAAAUAUCCGAUAAAUAAUCUAAGCGGGUCCUUGAACUAUUUUCUUGAAAUUAAGGUUAGAACUGCUGUCGUGGCUAGAGAUACGCGCCAACCAUAACAGCCUUUAUAAGUCUUCUUUGUUCCAUAGUUGAUUAGGUUAGCAGACAAAGUGCCGAUACCGAUGCUUAAUUGGAAACCAUUGUUUAUUGCCACUCGGUUUAUUUAAAAAAAUUUGAAUCUGAAUUGAAUUAUCAAAGCUGGCAGGGUUUUGAUGCAAUAGUGGUUUAGCAAGGAAGCAUUGAAUUUUGUUGUUUACGAUUCUGUUUUAAUUUGUUUGAUAUUCAAAUAGAGUGAUUUCACAGUUCUGUUUGAAUUUGUUUACGGUUCUGGUUUAGCGAGGAAGCAUUGAAUUUGGUUGUUUAUAGUUUUGUUUUAACGUGCUUUGUAUCCACAUGACUUCAAAUGUUGUGUUGGCCAGACUCUUGUAUCUUUAUUUAGUACUAAACCCGAUUGUUUGUUUUUUAAAACACCAAGACACUAGGUUAGAACCUAGGUAAAUGGAUGAUCCAGAUGAUGAAAUACUGUCAUCAGGUUUGAGUUCAAAUUUGCUGCCAUAAAAAGCCAAUUUCAAUGUGAUUGGGAAUUUUCAUUACCAUGAGAUGAGUCAUUCAGCUUUGUUUGUUCAAUUAGACAUUCUGUUACAAGACUCCAAGUGCUGUGACAAUGAUCAUAAAUGGAAUUAUACAUCGUUUUGUGAUUUCUAUCUCCUCUAGUAUAUAUAACGGAAACAUUUCACAGGUAGAUAAAUCUUCCACUAACUUCUAAAGACUUUA